UAGGGAAUCUUCCGCAAUGGACGAAAGUCUGACGGAGCAACGCCGCGUGAGCGAAGAAGGCCUUCGGGUCGUAAAGCUCUGUUGUCAGGGAAGAACAAGUGCCAUUCGAAUAGGCUGGCACCUUGACGGUACCUGACCAGAAAGCCACGGCUAACUACGUGCCAGCAGCCGCGGUAAUACGUAGGUGGCAAGCGUUGUCCGGAAUUAUUGGGGCGUUAAAGCGCGCGCAGGCGGUCCUUUAAGUCUGAUGUGAAAGCCCACGGCUCAACCGUGGAGGGUCAUUGGAAACUGGAGGACUUGAGUGCAGAGAGAAGAGUGGAAUUCCACGUGUAGCGGUGAAAUGCGUAGAGAUGUGGAGGAACACCAGUGGCGAAGGCGACUCUUUGGUCUGUAACUGACGCUGAGGCGCGAAAGCGUGGGGAGCAAACAGGAUUAGAUACCCUGGUAGUCCACGCCGUAAACGAUGAGUGCUAAGUGUUAGGGGG
rnacentral:rRNA from 1 species